GGGUUGUGAGGUUAAGCGACUAAGCGUACACGGUGGAUGCCCUGGCAGUCAGAGGCGAUGAAGGACGUGCUAAUCUGCGAAAAGCGUCGGUAAGGUGAUAUGAACCGUUAUAGCCGGCGAUGUCCGAAUGGGGAAACCCAGUGUGAUUCGUCACACUAUCGUUAACUGAAUACAUAGGUUAACGAGGCGAACCGGGGGAACUGAAACAUCUAAGUACCCCGAGGAAAAGAAAUCAACCGAGAUUCCCCCAGUAGCGGCGAGCGAACGGGGAGCAGCCCAGAGUCUGAAUCAGCUUGUGUGUUAGUGGAACGGUCUGGAAAGUCCGACGGUACAGGGUGAUAGUCCCGUACACCAAAAUGCACAGGCUGUGAACUCGAAGAGUAGGGCGGGACACGUGGUAUCCUGUCUGAAUAUGGGGGGACCAUCCUCCAAGGCUAAAUACUCCUGACUGACCGAUAGUGAACCAGUACCGUGAGGGAAAGGCGAAAAGAACCCCGGCGAGGGGAGUGAAAAAGAACCUGAAACCGUGUACGUACAAGCAGUGGGAGCACCUUCGGGUGUGACUGCGUACCUUUUGUAUAAUGGGUCAGCGACUUAUAUUCUGUAGCAAGGUUAACCGUAUAGGGGAGCCGCAGGGAAACCGAGUCUUAACUGGGCGUUAAGUUGCAGGGUAUAGACCCGAAACCCGGUGAUCUAGCCAUGGGCAGGUUGAAGGUUGGGUAACACUAACUGGAGGACCGAACCGACUAAUGUUGAAAAAUUAGCGGAUGACUUGUGGCUGGGGGUGAAAGGCCAAUCAAACCGGGAGAUAGCUGGUUCUCCCCGAAAGCUAUUUAGGUAGCGCCUCGUGAAUUCAUCUUCGGGGGUAGAGCACUGUUUCGGCUAGGGGGUCAUCCCGACUUACCAACCCGAUGCAAACUACGAAUACCGAAGAAUGUUAUCACGGGAGACACACGGCGGGUGCUAACGUCCGUCGUGAAGAGGGAAACAACCCAGACCGCCAGCUAAGGUCCCAAAGUCAUGGUUAAGUGGGAAACGAUGUGGGAAGGCACAGACAGCCAGGAUGUUGGCUUAGAAGCAGCCAUCAUUUAAAGAAAGCGUAAUAGCUCACUGGUCGAGUCGGCCUGCGCGGAAGAUGUAACGGGGCUAAACCAUGCACCGAAGCUGCGGCAGCGACACUAUGUGUUGUUGGGUAGGGGAGCGUUCUGUAAGCCUGCGAAGGUGACCUGUGAGGGUUGCUGGAGGUAUCAGAAGUGCGAAUGCUGACAUAAGUAACGAUAAAGCGGGUGAAAAGCCCGCUCGCCGGAAGACCAAGGGUUCCUGUCCAACGUUAAUCGGGGCAGGGUGAGUCGACCCCUAAGGCGAGGCCGAAAGGCGUAGUCGAUGGGAAACAGGUUAAUAUUCCUGUACUUGGUGUUACUGCGAAGGGGGGACGGAGAAGGCUAUGUUAGCCGGGCGACGGUUGUCCCGGUUUAAGCAUGUAGGCUGGUUGUCCAGGCAAAUCCGGAUAAUCAAGGCUGAGGUGUGAUGACGAGGCACUACGGUGCUGAAGUAACAAAUGCCCUGCUUCCAGGAAAAGCCUCUAAGCAUCAGGUAACAUCAAAUCGUACCCCAAACCGACACAGGUGGUCAGGUAGAGAAUACCAAGGCGCUUGAGAGAACUCGGGUGAAGGAACUAGGCAAAAUGGUGCCGUAACUUCGGGAGAAGGCACGCUGGUGUGUAGGUGAAGUCCCUGCGGAUGGAGCUGAGACCAGUCGAAGAUACCAGCUGGCUGCAACUGUUUAUUAAAAACACAGCACUGUGCAAACACGAAAGUGGACGUAUACGGUGUGACGCCUGCCCGGUGCCGGAAGGUUAAUUGAUGGGGUUAUCCGUAAGGAGAAGCUCUUGAUCGAAGCCCCGGUAAACGGCGGCCGUAACUAUAACGGUCCUAAGGUAGCGAAAUUCCUUGUCGGGUAAGUUCCGACCUGCACGAAUGGCGUAAUGAUGGCCAGGCUGUCUCCACCCGAGACUCAGUGAAAUUGAACUCGCUGUGAAGAUGCAGUGUACCCGCGGCAAGACGGAAAGACCCCGUGAACCUUUACUAUAGCUUGACACUGAACAUUGAGCCUUGAUGUGUAGGAUAGGUGGGAGGCUUUGAAGCGUGGACGCCAGUCUGCGUGGAGCCAACCUUGAAAUACCACCCUUUAAUGUUUGAUGUUCUAACGUUGGCCCCUUAUCGGGGUUGCGGACAGUGUCUGGUGGGUAGUUUGACUGGGGCGGUCUCCUCCCAAAGCGUAACGGAGGAGCACGAAGGUUAGCUAAUCCUGGUCGGACAUCAGGAGGUUAGUGCAAUGGCAUAAGCUAGCUUGACUGCGAGCGUGACGGCGCGAGCAGGUGCGAAAGCAGGUCAUAGUGAUCCGGUGGUUCUGAAUGGAAGGGCCAUCGCUCAACGGAUAAAAGGUACUCCGGGGAUAACAGGCUGAUACCGCCCAAGAGUUCAUAUCGACGGCGGUGUUUGGCACCUCGAUGUCGGCUCAUCACAUCCUGGGGCUGAAGUAGGUCCCAAGGGUAUGGCUGUUCGCCAUUUAAAGUGGUACGCGAGCUGGGUUUAGAACGUCGUGAGACAGUUCGGUCCCUAUCUGCCGUGGGCGCUGGAGAAUUGAGGGGGGCUGCUCCUAGUACGAGAGGACCGGAGUGGACGCAUCACUGGUGUUCGGGUUGUCAUGCCAAUGGCACUGCCCGGUAGCUAAAUGCGGAAGAGAUAAGUGCUGAAAGCAUCUAAGCACGAAACUUGCCCCGAGAUGAGUUCUCCCUGAGACUUUAAGUCUCCUGAAGGAACGUUGAAGACGACGACGUUGAUAGGCCGGGUGUGUAAGCGCAGCGAUGCGUUGAGCUAACCGGUACUAAUGAACCGUGAGGCUUAACCUUACAACGCCGAAG
rnacentral:rRNA from 1 species